rnacentral:rRNA from 1 species
UACGACGGGGGCUAGCGUUUUUCGGAAUUACUGGGCGUAAAGCGCGUGUAGGCGGGUCGUUAAGUCGGGGGUGAAAGCCCAGAGCUCAACUCUGGAACUGCCUUCGAUACUGGCGACCUGGACCCAAGGAGAGGCGAGUGGAAUUCCGAGUGUAGAGGUGAAAUUCGUAGAUAUUUGGAGGAACACCAGUGGCGAAGGCGACUCGCUGGACUUGUGGUGACGCUGAGACGCGAAAGCGUGGGGAGCAAACAGG